GCUGCAUGGCUGUCGUCAGCUCGUGUCGUGAGAUGUUCGGUUAAGUCCGCUAACGAGCGCAACCCUCGCUGUGUGUUACAAGUGUCACACGGAACUGCCGGUCAUAAACCGGAGGAAGGUGGGGAUGACGUCAAGUCAGCAUGGCCUUUAUAUCCUGGGCUACACACACGCUACAAUGGGAAGGGACAAUAGGUUGCGAAGCCGCGAGGCGGAGCCAAUCCAGCAAAACUUCCCUCAGUUCAGAUUGCAGGCUGCAACCCGCCUGCAUGAAGUUGGAGUUGCUAGUAAACGCAGGUCAGCCAUACUGCGUUGAAUACGUUCCCGGGGCUU
rnacentral:rRNA from 1 species